GACGAACGCUGGCGGCGUGCUUAACACAUGCAAGUCGAACGGAAAGGCCCUGCUUGCAGGGUGCUCGAGUGGCGAACGGGUGAGUAACACGUGGGUGAUCUGCCCCUUACUUUGGGAUAAGCCUGGGAAACUGGGUCUGAUACUGGAUAGGACCAUGCUGUAGGUGGUGUGGUGGAAAGAUUAGUUUCGGUAAGGGAUGAGCUCGCGGCCUAUCAGCUUGUUGGUGGGGUAAUGGCCUACCAAGGCGUCGACGGGUAGCCGGCCUGAGAGGGUGGACGGCCACAUUGGGACUGAGAUACGGCCCAGACUCCUACGGGAGGCAGCAGUGGGGAAUAUUGCACAAUGGGCGCAAGCCUGAUGCAGCGACGCCGCGUGGGGGAUGACGGCCUUCGGGUUGUAAACUCCUUUCAGCCAUGACGAAGCCUUCGGGUGACGGUAGUGGUAGAAGAAGCACCGGCUAACUACGUG
rnacentral:rRNA from 1 species